AGUGGCGGACGGGUGAGUAACGCGUGGGUAACCUGCCUCAUACAGGGGGAUAACAGUUAGAAAUGACUGCUAAUACCGCAUAAGACCACGGAGCCGCAUGGCUCAGUGGGAAAAACUCCGGCGGUAUGAGAUGGACCCGCGUCUGAUUAGGUAGUUGGUGGGGUAACGGCCUACCAAGCCGACGAUCAGUAGCCGACCUGAGAGGGUGACCGGCCACAUUGGGACUGAGACACGGCCCAA
rnacentral:rRNA from 1 species